CUGGUCACUUUGGCAGCACAAAUGCUAAAAAUGGAGUGAUACAAAGAAGAUUAGCAUAGUACUGUCCGAAGAUGGCAUGCAAAUUCAUGAAACAACCCUUAUUUUU
ensembl:snRNA U6 U6 spliceosomal RNA